UGAGAUGUCACUUAACAAAUCGAUAAUAUUUAAAGUCAUCGAGCAGUUAUAGUUCAAUUUUUAGUCAGAUAAAACAUUCUGACGUUGCUGGUAAAUCGUUUUUGCUUGGGACUCAGCAGAACCCGGAGGAUCACCUGCAGACAGAUUCCGUCAUCCACCCUCGCUCACACACAGAGAAGCUGCUGAAUCCAAAUGUGUCGGACAAAGCGGCUGGAGGGAAAACAAUUCUCAACAUGAAAUAUUUAUGCUGUAUUCAGCAGAAAAAUGUCACGACCACCUUUCAUGAUCCACGAUGAAAAAUGCAUGUGCCGUUUCAC
rnacentral:lncRNA from 1 species